rnacentral:rRNA from 1 species
UACGGAGGGUGCAAGCGUUGCUCGGAAUUAUUGGGCGUAAAGGGCAGGUAGGUGGUCUCGUUUGUCUGGGGUGAAAGCCUUGAGCUUAACUCAAGAAGUGCCCCCAGAAACGGCGAGACUAGAGUACUGGAGAGGGUCGUGGAAUUCCCGGUGUAGCGGUGAAAUGCGUAGAGAUGUGGAGGAACACCAAUGGCGAAGGCAGCCUUCUGGGCCAACACUGACGCUCAUGCACGAAAGCGUGGGGAGCAAACAGG